AGGAAGAAUGCUGAAGGCCCAAGAA
rnacentral:misc_RNA from 1 species